GUUUUUCCGCCCAUCGCCACGAUAGCGGCUCCACGGCGGGCGCGGAGUUGGGAGCGGCGCUCGAGCAGCGGCUCGGUGCCCUGGCCAUCCACACUGAGGUCGUGGAGCACCCCGAGGUCUGGCCAUCUUCUAAAGAGUUUGAACCUACUGAAGAACUAUCUUGACUGUCUUGAUGAGGGAGCUGAAGAAAUCCUUCACUGGAGUCUGAGCGGAAGUGGAAUCUAUUUUCCUUCUUCUUGAAUUUGGAAUGCUUUUGGCCAAGAGAAAGAGGUGGAAGUGAUGGUGUAACAGUUCCAAGUCUAGGCCUCAAGUUGCCUGUGGACUUCCACUCAGACUCUCAGAGCCCUGCUGGAGGAUGGAGAGACCACAUGGAACAGAGAAGGGUUAUCCCACCGAGGCCACCAUAGACCAGCCAGCCCUCAGCGUACAUGCCAGCUAAUUACAGAUGCAGGAGCAAACCCCUGGCCCAUACAUCAUUUUCUGGACCACCAGUGACAUGUGGAAUCUUAUGAAGACCCACUGAGGCUGACUCAUUUCUUGAAAAUCCUUUAAUUUUUGACUGGUUUACUGGUCUGUUACUUGCCCCAACCAAUAUUUCAACCUCAGGCUAUCUAAGAGCUGACCUUUGACAGCUCUCCCACGCAUGGGGCUUUUCUAUGCUCUGUUCCAAAUCAAGUCAGUUUUCUCCAGUAGAAAAGUUGCUGUUUUUCACAGCUUGCCCUGUGCUCUGUCAAAACUACCAGGCACAGGAACCAGGGAAGGAGAAGAGGAAUGGGAAGAACCCCAAGAUAAAAUGCCUCAGACAACCACAGUUCCUUCCCAGGGUUGAAUAGUUUUGCUUUAAUAAAUGCUUCUCAAUUUGCUAUAUGCCCUUGUUGGGUUCUAGAGUCCUAACAAGGUUGUUUUUGACAGUUCUGUCCAAUUUUAUUGUUUCUUAAGGAGUUGAUUUGCCACAUUUCUCACUCUACCAUUCUGGA
rnacentral:lncRNA from 1 species